ensembl:snoRNA small nucleolar RNA, C/D box 49A
UGCUCUGAUGAAAUCACUUAAUAGGAAGUGCCGUCAGAAUCGAUAACUGACGAUAACAGUUCCUGGCUGACU